AACGAACGCUGGCGGCAUGCCUAACACAUGCAAGUCGAACGAGACAUUCGGGUCUAGUGGCGCACGGGUGCGUAACGCGUGGGAACCUGCCCUUAGGUUCGGAAUAACUCCCCGAAAGGGGUGCUAAUACCGGAUAAUGUCUUCGGACCAAAGAUUUAUCGCCUUUGGAUGGGCCCGCGUUGGAUUAGCUAGUUGGUAGGGUAAAAGCCUACCAAGGCGACGAUCCAUAGCUGGUCUGAGAGGAUGAUCAGCCACACUGGGAGUGAGACACGGCCCAGACUCCUACGGGAGGCAGCAGUGGGGAAUAUUGGACAAUGGGCGAAAGCCUGAUCCAGCAAUGCCGCGUGAGUGAUGAAGGCCUUAGGGUUGUAAAGCUCUUUUACCCGGGAUGAUAAUGACAGUACCGGGAGAAUAAGCUCCGGCUAACUCCGUG
rnacentral:rRNA from 1 species